rfam:Toxocara canis scaffold1182, whole genome shotgun sequence.
GCGGCAAUAGUUCAGUGGUAGAGCCUCCGCUUCGAAUGCGGGGAGACCUGGGUUCGAUUCCGGGCUGUUACC